rnacentral:lncRNA from 1 species
UGCCUCUUUCUCUCUAACAGAGACUCGCUCAGCGGCAGAGAGCCCUUCAAUUCCAGCAGAGAGGGCAGACUGUCAUCCGAGCUCGGCCCAUCCUGCUGUCUGCGCUCUCCAGAGAGCGUGCUUGAUCCUGAUAAACAGACUGCGAGCCAGGCAUGUGACUGAACGUGACUGAACUUCUUAAGGGAAAUAGAAGACAUAAAGGCGCCCCUCCCACACCCUCACAGCAGAAUUUGUCAGGCAGGGCCAUCCUCUCAAUGGGGAUGAUGCUUUUCCAAAAGCCUGCCUUUCAGACUGUCUGAAGUGAGAUAGAGGGUACUUACUGUUAUCGUUGUGUGGCACGAGGCCCUUCAGGUUGCCUUAGCUGAUGUCAUUCAUCUGCCAGGCCCCUCUCUUGGGAUUCAGUAUCAUCUAGAAGCUGUCUCCUGAAUGAUGUGCUACCCCGCUAGGAACUGCAGACAAAGAUACUGUCUGUGUUAGUUACUUCCUCAUAGCUCUGACCACACGUCAGACUAUCCCAGCAUCCUCAAGA